rnacentral:tRNA from 1 species
GGAAGGACAGCUCAGUGGUUAGAGCCCUGGCUUGGGACUCAGGAUCCCUGGGUUCAAUCUCCAGCUCUGCCA